UUUAGCUGAACCCCUGAUCGGUGGCCCGCAAGGACGCAAUGAUGCGUCGGGCUUCAUCGGGAAUGGGGAAGGGCAUGGCAUCCCGCCGCGCCCCAAGCCUCAGCCGCCCCCGCGACUGUAUGCGGAGAGCGCGCUUCAUCUGCGCCACUGGUUCCUCUGAAGGACUGGGAAGGCCGAAGCCGCGCGACGAUCCGCGAGCCAGGAGACCGGCCGUCAGACAUAACGCCAA
rfam:Paracoccus saliphilus strain DSM 18447 genome assembly, contig: Ga0111667_110